rnacentral:rRNA from 1 species
GACGAACGCUGGCGGCGCGCCUAACACAUGCAAGUCGAACGAGCGAGAGAGAGCUUGCUUUCUUGAGCGAGUGGCGAACGGGUGAGUAACGCGUGAGGAACCUGCCUCAAAGAGGGGGACAACAGUUGGAAACGACUGCUAAUACCGCAUAAGCCCACGACCCGGCAUCGGGUUGAGGGAAAAGGAGCAAUCCGCUUUGAGAUGGCCUCGCGUCCGAUUAGCUAGUUGGUGAGGUAACGGCCCACCAAGGCGACGAUCGGUAGCCGGACUGAGAGGUUGAACGGGCACAUUGGGACUGAGACACGGGCCAGACUUCUUAGGGAGGCAGCAGUGGGGAAUAUUGCACAAUGGGGGAAACCCUGAUGCAGCGACGCCGCGUGGAGGAAGAAGGUCUUCGGAUUGUAAACUCCUGUUGUUGAGGAAGAUAAUGACGGUACUCAACAAGGAAGUGACGGCUAACUACGUG